rnacentral:rRNA from 1 species
GAUGAACGCUGUCUACAGGCUUAACACAUGCAAGUCGAGGGGAAACGCCGGGGAAGCUUGCUUCCCCGGGCGUCGACCGGCGCACGGGUGAGUAACGCGUAUCCAACCUGCCUCUGACUGAGGGAUAACCCGUCGAAAGUCGGCCUAAUACCUCAUAGCAUCGUCUGCGGGCAUCCAACGACGAUUAAAGAUUUCAUCGGUCAGGGAUGGGGAUGCGUCUGAUUAGCUUGUUGGCGGGGUAACGGCCCACCAAGGCUACGAUCAGUAGGGGUUCUGAGAGGAAGGUCCCCCACAGUGGAACUGAGACACGGUCCAAACUCCUACGGGAGGCAGCAGUGAGGAAUAUUGGUGAAUGGGCGGGAGCCUGAACCAGCCAAGUAGCGUGCAGGAUGACGGCCCUAUGGGUUGUAAACUGCUUUUAUGCGGGGAUAAAGUGAGGGACGUGUCCUUCAUUGCAGGUACCGCAUGAAUAAGGACCGGCUAAUUCCGUG